rnacentral:rRNA from 1 species
CCUACGGGAGGCUGCAGUGGGGAAUAUUGGACAAUGGGGGCAACCCUGAUCCAGCCAUGCCGCGUGUGUGAAGAAGGCCCUCGGGUUGUAAAGCACUUUCAGUGAGGAAGAACGCCUGGUGGUUAAUACCCAUCAGGAAAGACAUCACUCACAGAAGAAGCACCGUCUAACUCCGUGCCAGCAGCCGCGGUAAUACGGAGGGUGCGAGCGUUAAUCGGAAUUACUGGGCGUAAAGCGCGCGUAGGUGGCUUGAUAAGCCGGUUGUGAAAGCCCCGGGCUCAACCUGGGAACGGCAUCCGGAACUGUCAAGCUAGAGUGCAGGAGAGGAAGGUAGAAUUCCCGGUGUAGCGGUGAAAUGCGUAGAGAUCGGGAGGGAUACCAGUGGCGAAGGCGGCCUUCUGGACUGACACUGACACUGAGGUGCGAAAGCGUGGGUAGCAAACAGGAUUAGAUACCCUAGUAGUC